UCCUUACGAGUGGUAAAAAACUAGCACUUCUCUAAUUUACACAAUUUAAAUUAAAUUCGUUUUUCGUAAGGCUGCCGAAGCCGAAAGAGUGAAAUUAAUUAAAUUAAUGUUAUUUGUAAUUUUCUGAACUCUUAAUUAAGUGCAAUGCUGAAAGAAAUAAAUGAAAUACUUUACAAAGAAUUGAAAAAGUACUUGGUAAUUAUUCUUUAUUAUAAAAUUUAAAUUUUAGUAUCAUAAUACAAUAUAUAAUGAAGAAGAAAUAACAAUGAAUGUCUAAAUAAAAAAGUAAAUUUUUUUUUGGGGGAAAGAAUUUAGUUUGUUGUUUUCUCUUCGUCACUUUUACAGUUUUUACAAGAGAACAGAGGUAAAAAGUUAAGUUUUCUCGAGAUCGUGAAUAUUUCCCAAGGACUUGAGAAUUCAGAAGCAGUCCCUCGAGACAAGUUUGGGGACUUUUAGAGAGUAAGAGGGACAGUACUCUCGUGAGAGUGCCAGCAUCCUAACACACAGUACAUAGUAUAUAUAAAAAGAUCGUUGUUCCGAGUCAUUUGUCUGACUAAUUUCCCGAUGCGCUUGGCCAGAGGAUCAAAAGCAGUUGCAGCAUAACCCACCGCCACCAGCUCUGGUAUGCUGCUGCUUAAACUUCAUUUUCCACUUCUCUAUAUUAUCGUCCUUUCAACUUAUUUUGUCAUGUGGAAUGACCUUAUAGAAAAAAAAAAAAAAAAAAAAAACAAA